GAUGAACGCUAGCUACAGGCUUAACACAUGCAAGUCGCGGGGCAGCAUGGGGGUUGCUUGCAAUCCCUGAUGGCGACCGGCGCACGGGUGAGUAACGCGUAUCCAACCUGCCCUUCACCACGGGAUAACCCGGCGAAAGUCGGACUAAUACCGUAUGUUGUCCAUUGACGGCAUCCGAUUUGGACGAAAGGCUUAGCGGUGAGGGAUGGGGAUGCGUGCGAUUAGCUUGACGGCGAGGUAACGGCGUACCGUGGCGACGAAUCGUAGCCGUGCUGAGAGGGUGAUCGGCCACACUGGAACUGAGACACGCGCCAGACACCUACGGUGCGCAGCAGUAGGGAAUCUUCCGGAGUGGGCGAAAGCCUGACGGAGCAACGCCGCGUGAUUGAUGAAGUGCUUCGGAUCGUAAAACUCUGUUAUUAGGGAAGAACAAAUGUGUGAGUAACUAUGCACGUCUUGACGGUACCUAAUCAGAAGGCCACGGCUAACUACGUG
rnacentral:rRNA from 1 species